rnacentral:lncRNA from 1 species
CCUGUGCAGGGAGGGGAUGCAGUGGAGGAGCCCGGGGAAGCCUGACCCGGCCACCCCAGAGCCUGGCUACCUCUUCUGGACAGGGCCCUUUUUGCUCCAGCAGCCUCAGGCCUGUGAGUGGCUGUAGAUUCUGGAGACAGCCUUGGGCUGGGAGCCUGGAUGCUGAGUCCUCAUGCUGCUUGGACAUCAGUCAUUUUGCAGUCUCCUUGUCUUAACCCAGGAUCGUGCCCCCCUGCAAUUGUCCACCUCUAGAAGCUGCCGCUGUCAGCCACACAUGAUAGUUGAUGUGGGAUGUACAGAUAAACUAGUGAAGCAUCCGUCUUCAGGAGCUAACAGUUUCACAGGGGAAAAUGGCAUGAAACCAGGACUUGUUCACUAGGACCACCCCUCUGCCAGCAGAGCUGGGCCUCACCUUGGUUUUGAAGCUCUCCACAUCAUCAAAGCCCACCCACUGGUUGUCCCGGAAGAUGUAGGGCACCUUCUGAUCCUGGAUUCUCUGUUUGGUGGCCCCCUUCCAGGAGCAGACUUCAUAGUAGGCCAGCAUCCCUCCUUCCUUGGUGAAGGGGCCUGGAGUGCCAGACCCUGUGGCUGGGGCCCCCACUCUGGUGUCUGAUGAGGAGGCCAGUGUGAAGGAGCGUCCGUAGGUAGGCAUGCCAAGGAUCAGCUUGCUGGCAGGGGUCCCCUUCUGCAGCCACUGUUGCACAGCAGCAUCCUGGUGGAAGAGGGCAGGGUUAAUUUUCUCAGCCCUCAGCCUGGUUCUGAUUAUCUAAGUCUGGGGGAUCCAGAGGCAGAGCUAGGAGGGCAGGGGCUCCUCAGCUGGAGCUCUACGGGCCUUUGUUAGGAUUCCAGCCCUACCCCAUCUUCUUUAGAGCCUGCCUUAGACCCGUGACCCCAGUGAAGAAGCUGCAUGGCAUGAUAACCAGAGAGCGUGGGCUUCGGACGCAGACAACCAUUCACUGAACAAAUGUGUACUGAUGGCCCACUGUGUGCCAGGCGCUGUCCAUGGUGCUUCAGACACAUCAGUGAACAAGGCAGACACAGAUCCCUGCCUUACCCAGCAGCUUAUUUAACCUCACUGAACCUUGGUGUUCUGUCUGUAACAUGGAAAUAAGGAAAAUAUCCAUCUCUUAGGGCAUUGUGAGAAUUAAAGGUUAUAAUGCAUGUAAAAGGUCAGCA